CAGUAGCCGCGGGAAUACGGAGGGAGCUAGCGUUGUCCGGAUUUAUUGGGCGUAAAGCGAGCGCAGGCGGUUAGAUAAGUCUGAAGUUAAAGGCUGUGGCUUAACCAUAGUACGCUUUGGAAACUGUUUAACUUGAGUGCAAGAGGGGAGAGUGGAAUUCCAUGUGUAGCGGUGAAAUGCGUAGAUAUAUGGAGGAACACCGGUGGCGAAUGCGGCUCUCUGGCUUGUAACUGACGCUGAGGCUCGAAAGCGUGGGGAGCAAACAGGAUUAGAUACCCGGGUAGUCCCUGUCUCUUAUACC
rnacentral:rRNA from 1 species